GGAUGGAUCACUUGAGCCCAGGAAUUUGAGACCAGCCUGGCCAACAUGGCGAAAUCCCAUGUCUACUAAAAAUACAAAAAUUAGCUGGGUAUGGUGGCAUGCACCUGAGUCCCAGCUACUCUAAAGGCUGAGGCAUGAGAAUCACUUGAACCCAGAAGGUGGAGGUUGUAGUGAGCCUAGAUCAAGUCACUGCACUCCAGCCUGGGUGAUAGAGUGAGACUCCAUCUCAAAAAAGUAAGUAAAUAAAUAAUAAAAUAAAUUAAGCAAUCUGAUAUUAAUGGAGCUUGUUUAAAAGAAAGGGACAGGCUACUCAGGCCACCAUGAGUGUAAAAUUCUCAAUUUGCAUUCCAGUUUUAGACGUCAUUAUCUUGUGGGCUUUGAGUGACUCUGCAUCUCCAGACUAGCCAAUCCUGGGACACUUGCAACAUCUUUUCUGCACCUACGAAAUUAUGGACCAGAUUCACCAACGGAAUUGCCAAUUUGUGAGGAAAUAACCUCCUGUAAGUUGCAGCUUAAGAAAACAAGAAGUUCUGUGACUUCUGCCAAGGCCAAUCAUUUGUAACAUCCAGCAUAAAAGGAUGCUAUAUGAAUGCAACUUUGGAAUAUCAUGUGCAGCUGUUUAAAAGAAGUAACUUGUGAAGAAGGUGCUUAACAAGAGAAGGUAGGCAGCUUCUGGUCUUUAC
rnacentral:lncRNA from 13 species